CCUCUUUGUGUGGUCGACGUCUCUUAGAUUUGCUUCACUCUUUGCGUGCCUUAAUCUCUCUCUCUCUCUCUCUCUCUCCCUCUCUCUCUUUCAUUUCAUUUCCCCAUCCUUCCCAAUAAAUGGUCACUUUUCUCACCAAGAGCAACAAGCUACAGCCGCUGAGAACUGCGAAGAAGGCUCAUCCAUGCUUUGUCUUAUCAUCAUCUAAAUCAAUUUCACGGUUCGGUUCAUCGUUAAUUUAUUUGUUAUUUUAGUCUGUUAGUUCUAUUUUCCUUUCAAUUUUCGUUUUUAGUUUAUACAAACUGAGUACGAUUUGGGUCUCCUCCAUUGAAGUGGCUUAUGAGCUAGAAGACGAGGAGAUGCUUAUGCCCCAUUCUGAUGUCGCAGUACUACUUCUACUACAGGAGAAACUUAUUGUGAAGAGCUAUGAGAUCUCUUGUGGUUUCAUAAGCUCUUAGAGAACUUGCAAGCAGCAUAAAAAACAGGCGUCAUUGCUCUCCAUCAAUUCUCUUUGGACAAAGUCAGAGACAAGUAUGCAGUGAGCUCACUAACUGUAGCUGGGGGUAUUGCUGUUUGGGGUUCUGUUGGCAUAAUCUAUGGAAGCUUUGCUACAGAAAAUUUAAGGCACAUACAAUGAACAAAAUCAACAAGCAGACAAGUUAGCAGGAAAUUUGGGGAUGUAUGCCCAAAAGAGUUGAACAGAGAUUCUGCAAAAAAAAAAAAAAAAAAAAGAAAUUGCAUUUGAAAUGGAAAAUCCUACUACUCUUUUGUACUCAUAUUCCUCUAACAUUAAGUAAACUCUUGUAAUUUACCCUCUCUCCCUCUAAUCGAAAGGCACACUCUUGUACCUAUAUUCUUCUAAAACCCUAUGUCUUAAUUUGACCAUCAUCACAUAAUACCAAUAAUAUUUCAUGCUA